rnacentral:tRNA from 1 species
GGUGAUAGCUCAUUUGGUAGAGCGCUUGCUUCACAUGCACACAGCCCUGGGUUUGACCCCCAGCACCA